UGGGGAAUAUUGGACAAUGGGGGCAACCCUGAUCCAGCCAUGCCGCGUGUGUGAAGAAGGCCUUUUGGUUGUAAAGCACUUUAAGCGAGGAGGAGGGUACCCUAGUUAAUAGCUAGAAGUAUCGGACGUUACUCGCAGAAUAAGCACCGGCUAACUCUGUGCCAGCAGCCGCGGUAAUACAGAGGGUGCGAGCGUUGAUCGGAUUUACUGGGCGUAAAGCGUGCGUAGGCGGCUAAUUAAGUCGGAUGUGAAAUCCCCGAGCUCAACUUGGGAAUUGCAUUCGAUACUGGUUAGCUAGAGUAUGGGAGAGGAUGGUAGAAUUCCAGGUGUAGCGGUGAAAUGCGUAGAGAUCUGGAGGAAUACCGAUGGCGAAGGCAGCCAUCUGGCCUAAUACUGACGCUGAGGUACGAAAGCAUGGGGAGCAAACAGGAUUAGAUACCCUGGUAGUCCAUGCCGUAAACGAUGUCUACUAGCCGUUGGGGCCUUUGAGGCUUUAGUGGCGCAGCUAACGCGAUAAGUAGACCGCCUGGGGAGUACGGUCGCGAGACUA
rnacentral:rRNA from 1 species